CUUGGGGAAUUUUGGGGGGCUUUGGGAUCAUGGAUUUACAUUUGACCUGAGUGGCGAACUGGUGAGUAACACGUGGGAAACCUGCCCAGAAGCGGGGGAUAACACCUGGAAACAGAUGCUAAUACCGCAUAACAACUUGGACCGCAUGGUCCGAGUUUGAAAGAUGGCUUCGGCUAUCACUUUUGGAUGGUCCCGCGGCGUAUUAGCUAGAUGGUGGGGUAACGGCUCACCAUGGCAAUGAUACGUAGCCGACCUGAGAGGGUAAUCGGCCACAUUGGGACUGAGACACGGCCCAAACUCCUACGGGAGGCAGCAGUAGGGAAUCUUCCACAAUGGACGAAAGUCUGAUGGAGCAACGCCGCGUGAGUGAAGAAGGGUUUCGGCUCGUAAAACUCUGUUGUUAAAGAAGAACAUAUCUGAGAGUAACUGUUCAGGUAUUGACGGUAUUUAACCAGAAAGCCACGGCUAACUACGUGCCAGCAGCCGCGGUAAUACGUAGGUGGCAAGCGUUGUCCGGAUUUAUUGGGCGUAAAGCGAGCGCAGGCGGUUUUUUAAGUCUGAUGUGAAAGCCUUCGGCUCAACCGAAGAAGUGCAUCGGAAACUGGGAAACUUGAGUGCAGAAGAGGACAGUGGAACUCCAUGUGUAGCGGUGAAAUGCGUAGAUAUAUGGAAGAACACCAGUGGCGAAGGCGGCUGUCUGGUCUGUAACUGACGCUGAGGCUCGAAAGUAUGGGUAGCAAACAGGAUUAGAUACCCUGGUAGUCCAUACCGUAAACGAUGAAUGCUAAGUGUUGGAGGGUUUCCGCCCUUCAGUGCUGCAGCUAACGCAUUAAGCAUUCCGCCUGGGGAGUACGGCCGCAAGGCUGAAACUCAAAGGAAUUGACGGGGGCCCGCACAAGCGGUGGAGCAUGUGGUUUAAUUCGAAGCUACGCGAAGAACCUUACCAGGUCUUGACAUACUAUGCAAAUCUAAGAGAUUAGACGUUCCCUUCGGGGACAUGGAUACAGGUGGUGCAUGGUUGUCGUCAGCUCGUGUCGUGAGAUGUUGGGUUAAGUCCCGCAACGAGCGCAACCCUUAUUAUCAGUUGCCAGCAUUAAGUUGGGCACUCUGGUGAGACUGCCGGUGACAAACCGGAGGAAGGUGGGGAUGACGUCAAAUCAUCAUGCCCCUUAUGACCUGGGCUACACACGUGCUACAAUGGAUGGUACAACGAGUUGCGAACUCGCGAGAGUAAGCUAAUCUCUUAAAGCCAUUCUCAGUUCGGAUUGUAGGCUGCAACUCGCCUACAUGAAGUCGGAAUCGCUAGUAAUCGCGGAUCAGCAUGCCGCGGUGAAUACGUUCCCGGGCCUUGUACAC
rnacentral:rRNA from 2 species